GGAGGAAAGCAGGGGAUCGCAAGACCUUGCGCUUUUGGAGCGGCCGAUAUCUGAUUAGCUAGUUGGUGAGGUAAAGGCUUACCAAGGCGUCGAUCAGUAGCUGGUCUGAGAGGACGACCAGCCACACUGGGACUGAGACACGGCCCAGACUCCUACGGGAGGCAGCAGUGGGGAAUUUUGGACAAUGGGGGAAACCCUGAUCCAGCCAUGCCGCGUGAGUGAAGAAGGCCUUCGGGUUGUAAAGCUCUUUCAGCCGGAACGAAACGGUCACAGCUAAUACCUGUGACUACUGACGGUACCGGAAGAAGAAGCAUCGGCUAACUACGUGCCAGCAGCCGCGGUAAUACGUAGGGUGCGAGCGUUAAUCGGAAUUACUGGGCGUAAAGCGUGCGCAGGCGGUUUUGUAAGUCAGAUGUGAAAUCCCCGGGCUUAACCUGGGAACUGCGUUUGAAACUACAAGGCUAG
rnacentral:rRNA from 1 species